GAAAGGGAAAACAACACUCACUAAUAUCUUCCUACAAUGAGAUUGCUUCGAAAGGCUUUGGACAAAUGUUGAAGGAAGAAAAAUAUAAUUAAUGUAUAUCUCUGACUCUUUAAACAUAAUCUAAUACUGAGAAAGUUUGGUCAAAUCAGAAACUUUACCAAUCUAUGAAAAUAAAUUCAGUGAUAUUCAGAACCAUCAACCAAACUCAAAAGAGAUGGGAUCUCACACUGUCUCCAGGCUGGAGUGUAAUGGCAGGAUCACAGCUUGCUGUAGCCCCAAAUUCCUGGGCUCAAGGGAUCCUCCCACCUCAGCAUUCCAAGUCGCCGGAACUACAGGCUCUUUGGUUUCAUAUGUCA